rnacentral:ncRNA from 1 species
AUCUUCGGGGCGAGGUGUAAUUCCUCACCGGCGGUAACAGCCCGCGACCGAUGGCAGAGCCAUCGCUGAUUUGGUGCAAUUCCAAAGCCGACAGUAUAGUCUGGAUGAAAGAAGAU